rnacentral:piRNA from 1 species
UGGCAAAUGAAGAUGGCACACACACACUGGC